GACGAACGCUGGCGGCGUGCUUAACACAUGCAAGUCGAGCGGUAAGGCCCUUUCGGGGGUACGACGAGCGGCGAACGGGUGAGUAACACGUGGGUGACCUGCCCUCAGCUCUGGGAUAAGCCUGGGAAACUGGGUCUAAUACUGGAUAUGACUCCAUGACGCAUGUUGUGGGGUGGAAAGCCUUGUGCGGCUGGGGAUGGGCCCGCGACCUAUCAGCUUGUUGGUGGGGGAUGGCCUACCGAGGCGACGACGGGUAGCCGGCCUGAGAGGGCGACCGGCCACACUGGGACUGAGACACGGCCCAGACUCCUACGGGAGGGCAGCAGUGGGGAAUCUUGCGCAAUGGGCGAAAGCCUGACGCAGCGACGCCGCGUGAGGGAUGACGGCCUGUGU
rnacentral:rRNA from 1 species